rnacentral:rRNA from 1 species
GACGAACGCUGGCGGCGUGCCUAAUACAUGCAAGUCGAGCGGAAUGAUGAAGAAGCUUGCUUCUUCUGAUUUUAGCGGCGGACGGGUGAGUAACACGUGGGCAACCUACCUUGUAGAUUGGGAUAACUCCGGGAAACCGGGGCUAAUACCGAAUAAUCCAUUUUGCUUCACGGCGAGAUGUUGAAAGACGGUUUCGGCUGUCACUACAAGAUGGGCCCGCGGCGCAUUAGCUAGUUGGUAGGGUAAUGGCCUACCAAGGCGACGAUGCGUAGCCGACCUGAGAGGGUGAUCGGCCACACUGGGACUGAGACACGGCCCAGACUCCUACGGGAGGCAGCAGUAGGGAAUCUUCCACAAUGGACGAAAGUCUGAUGGAGCAACGCCGCGUGAGUGAAGAAGGUUUCCGGAUCGUAAAACUCUGUUGUAAGGGAAGAACACGUACGAGAGUAACUGCUCGUACCUCGACGGUACCUUAUUAGAAAGCCACGGCUAACUACGUG